UACGGGGGAGCAAGCGUUGUUCGGAUUUACUGGGCGUAAAGGGCGCGUAGGCGGCUUGGCAAGUGGAAGGUGAAAUCCCUCGGCUUAACCGAGGAACUGCCCUCCAAACUGCUUUGCUUGAGGCCGGGAGAGGUGAGUGGAAUUCCCAGUGUAGCGGUGAAAUGCGUAGAUAUUGGGAGGAACACCAGUGGCGAAGGCGGCUCACUGGACCGGUUCUGACGCUGAGGCGCGAAAGCGUGGGGAGCAAACGGG
rnacentral:rRNA from 1 species